rnacentral:lncRNA from 1 species
AGGAGAAAGACGAUGAUAACACAAAUCAAUAUAAUGAGGAGAUAGAUUACGGGUGGUGCGAAUAUCCUUACGAAGAGCAAUGGGAAGGUCAGGCUCAGGUGGCAGGGCCGGAUCCGGAGGUGGCGUCGGAGGAGAGUCUGUAAUGGGAGCAGGAACAGGCACAACAGAGGGUAAGCGACGACGCUGAUAUGUUUGUAGUGGUCGAGGAGGUUGAGGGGCAAACUCGGCAGGUUCGAUAGGGAUAUGAGUGGGUGGGAGAGGUAUAACUACUUGAGGAGGUUCGGGAGGGAUGUCCUGAUAGGGCUCAGUAGCUAUAUGGGUAGGUUUAAAAUAUUGUACAGACUCAAAAAAGGUAACAUC